UACACUGGAGUUUUUAGAUUU
rnacentral:piRNA from 1 species